rnacentral:rRNA from 1 species
ACUCCUGCGGGAGGCAGCAGUGGGGAAUUUUGGACAAUGGGGGCAACCCUGAUCCAGCAAUGCCGCGUGAGUGAAGAAGGCCUUCGGGUUGUAAAGCUCUUUUGUCAGGGAAGAAACGGUGGUGGCGAAUAACUACUACUAAUGACGGUACCUGAAGAAUAAGCACCGGCUAACUACGUGCCAGCAGCCGCGGUAAUACGUAGGGUGCAAGCGUUAAUCGGAAUUACUGGGCGUAAAGCGUGCGCAGGCGGUUGUGUAAGUCAGAUGUGAAAUCCCCGGGCUCAACCUGGGAAUUGCAUUUGAGACUGCACGGCUAGAGUGUGGCAGAGGGGGGUAGAAUUCCACGUGUAGCAGUGAAAUGCGUAGAUAUGUGGAGGAAUACCGAUGGCGAAGGCAGCCCCCUGGGAUAACACUGACGCUCAUGCACGAAAGCGUGGGGAGCAAACAGGAUUAGAAACCCUGGUAGUCCCAUG